AAAAAGAAGAACUUUUGUGCCAUUCAAGUAAGUGUCUCCUACUCUAGUGCUUUUGAUUGGAGAAUAAUUUGCAUUGUGGUAUUGUGGAUUGCUCUAUGCUUUUCUUGUGAGACGUUUAAGGGGUUUGUCAAUUGUUUAUAUGGGAAUUAGUGUUUGGGCUGUUGAUUGUGUUAAUCAGUAAGAUUUGGGGGGGUGACACCAAAAGGAAAUUAUACUCAAGUUCUGGAAAACCUAUUUGGGGGUUUAGUUUGUUCUUGUUUUGAAAGACACUAUGGGUCCUAAGAGAAAUCCCACUAGAGGUACCUCCUCAAAGAAAGCCUCCUCAUCCCGCACUCAACCACCACCAACACCACUUGCCCCAGCUGAUUAUGACACGAAUUUAUUUGUCAAUAAGGACGCAGCUGAUUUGUUUAAAAAGAUUCAUAAGAGAUCGGUGGUAAGGGAAAGGAGGUUUGAGCUUAAUGAGGCCACUGUUGUACAAAACCCUGCCUAUGAUCUCAUCAAAGCUGAAAUAGUGCGACGUAACUGGGGUGUCUUUUGUGACUCGACCUAUGUGGGGUCAGCCAACUGUUCUCAGAUGUAUGAAUUCUUCGCCAACUUCUCAUAUCUAGAUGCAGAACAGAACAAUUUUAUCAGGGGUAAAUUGGUGCCUACAACAUCUUAUGCAUUUAACCAAUUAAUAGGCCUCCCCUCAUUGUCUGCACAAGAGGAUGAACAUUGGCAGUUGGCCCAUUUUGAGGAGCCAGACUAUGAUGCUGUGGUUGCAGUUUUGAGUGUGGAAGGUGCACGCUUCAACUAUCAUAACGGAAAGCCCAAAGAGUUGUACAGGUGGCAGCUAAAUCCAAUUGCGAAGGCGUGGGUUUAUUUUGUGAGUUAACGUUUACUGCCGACCUCUCAUCUGUCUUCUAUUGAUAGAGAGCGCUUUUGUUGGUGUAUGCUAUCAUGACCCAAAUGAAAGUUGAUGUGGGCCGCAUUAUUCGCUAUAGCAUUCGUAACAUCAGCAAAUUCAAUACUACAGCUGGUGUCGCCCAUGGUACCUUCCUCUCGAAUCUAUGCAACACUUAUGAGGUACCAGUCUACCCAAGCGAUCUAGUCCGGAGGGCAAUGGGGGCAAUCAAUCAGACUAUGUUUACGGCAUUCCUUUCAACCUCUCUUACGCCGCCUGCCUCUAGCCAGCAAAAUAAGCGCAGCCGGGCUGAUGACACAGUGGACAUCGAUCAAGCUGAGGAGGAGGAAGCAGAUGAACCAGGUCCCAGUAACGCACCUUCGAAUUUGGCAAUUGGUGGACCUAUUGAUGAGCACACGCAGCGCACGCAUGCUCGAUUGGAUUACCUUAUUCAGCAAAAUCAAUACUUAAUCCAAUCGCAUCAGGCGCAAAAUCAGCACUAUAAUGACUUCAUGGUGCAACAAAAUGAGUAUGGGCGGGCUCACAUUGAGGAGUUGAAUACUUUAGUCACGAGGUGGACUAUGAGCUCUGCUGAUGAGAAUUACUUCACUCCAUCGCCACAGUACACUUCAUACCAGUGGCCACCUCCACCACCUCCUCCGCCAUACUGAUGUGGCGUCAGGUAAGUUAUCUUCCCUUGUUCUUUUCUUUAUCACAUUGAGGACAAUGUGCAUCUUAAGUUUGGGGGGGAGCUUAUUUUGUUUUAUUUUUGUUUUCUGCGUUGUUUAGUUUAGUUUUUUUUAGUCUGUUGUGUUGUUUAGUGUAAAUGUUUAGCCAUCAUUCUUGUCUGUUGUUGCUUUGUCUUUGCUCGUGAAAAGGAAAUUGAAUUCAACUGUGUGCUUGGUUCAAUUGUUUUAGAGUUUAAUUUAAAAGGUUUGUGGGAAAUUUUUAAUAUGUUUUGAAAAGGCAACAUUUUGGAUUUUAUUAUAUGUGUUUGACUAGGGUUGGUGGAAUGACAAUUUGAAUUUGAUAGAACUUGCAUUAGUUGGCCUUUGAGGCGAAAUCCUUGAUGACAUGUGUUUAGAAAAGUGAUUUAGGCAAUUUUUUUUUUUUUUUAGAAGAAAAUUGAAAUUGCAUUAGUUCAUAACAGGGAUUCAAGUGAUUCAAUUAAACAUCCUAAACAGAAAAUUAGUUCAUAGUCAUAGUGCUAAUCACAACAAAAAUUAAAGAUAACAUCAGGAAGAGAAGAAAAACAUGUAAAAAUACUCUAAGCUUGAGCCUUCAAAACCAGAACUUCUCCCUCGAAUAAACAAGUAAUAAUAGUGGAAAUAUAUUAUCGUUCCGUCAGGGAAUUGAUCUAAUAAUUACCAAUAGCAAACUUUUAUUUCUAUUUGACUAACGAGAUUUUAAUGGCAAUUAACAAUGAACAAUAAACUAAGAAAGCACAAUUUAAUUAACGAAAUUUAAUAUAAGCGAAAGAUUAGAGUAUUCUAAUUUCAUCAACCUUCAAUUCUAUUCAAUCAAUAAUACAACUAAUAUGUUUCUUUGAUCUAUGGUUAUAGCAAGUUUACUAAUGACAAUUCUAUUCUCUCUCAAGAUAUAAAAUAUUCAGUUUACCUGUGAAUUUUCUACAUGUCUGUGAUAAAUUCUACACAUAAACCGCAUUAAGAACAAAAACCUAAUUGCUACACAAACCAAUUUGAUACUUUCGUUCUAAAUUGAAAUCUAUGUCUAUUGUCUAAAGCUAUUCCAAUUCUCACUUUUCAGAUAUUGAAUUAAAACCAAUAAUCAUGCAACAGAUGGCCAAUCAAUUACAAGCAUUAAACAUAAGAACAAUAGAUAACCAUAAAUUCAAAGAUUCAUAGAAAUUGCAUUAAAGACGAAUAGAAUAUCCAGUGACUACAUUAAAAUACUCUAAAUACGAAUUUAGUUCAUAAUAUUAAACUUCAUCAUCCAAUCUAAAAUUCAAAAACAUAAAAAUAAACACAAACGAAAUAAACGCGGAUUCUUCUCUGUUUCUUUCUCUUUGCCGUCAGAAUGCCUCCCUCUUAUUUUCCUUUUAGAUCUUCUUUUUAUAAAAAUCCAAAAACCUACGAAUUUCCAUGAAAAUUUCCAAAAAUACCCUCGUGCCGAUAUAUCGCCCAAGACAGGCGAUAUAUCGCCUGACGAAUGUUCUCGAUAAAAACGCAAGUUUCUGAUGUCGUUUCUGCAAAGCCAAAACUUAGAAUUCCUCCUUAUGCCGAUAUAUCGCCUGUACCAUAUUUCCACAUAUUGGCCAAUUUUCGGCUACUAAAACCAACAUUUAUCCAAAUUCUCGAACAAAUCAGAAUAAUAACGACAAACUGCACAAGUUCACCAAACAGAUUAAAUAGAAACUUUAUGUUGAGAAAAACAACCAAAUCAAUCUGAAAAUGUUAUCAAUAAGCGUAUAUUUUGUACGCUUAUCAUCCGUACAUACAUUUUCUCCCCUUUUCGCAAUAUUAAAACCUAAGGCUCAAAUUUUAAAGAGGCGGGCCGCAGCUCUACAUACACUAUGCCGUGGCCCGUGUCAUAAUUUCUGGGCAAAAGAUCCUCUCCAUGCCGCGGCCCUCUGAAGCCAUGUCGCGGCCCGCAUCGACGAGUUCUGGGAAAAAUGCCCAUCUAUGUCGCGGCUCUCUCUAGCCAUGUCGCGGCCCGAGGAUUUCCUUAAAAACAUUGCUUCUGUUUCCCACCUAGCCGCGGCUCCACUUUGCUCAUGCCAUGGCUCUUAAGGGAUUUCUCAAUUCUUCAAGUUUUCAUCCCAAAAUUUCACCAACACUUCCAAAUUGUGUUGAGAACCAUUCUUUAUCAAAAUAUGAUGAAAAACUUGGUUAUUUCUGCCCUUUCUUUGACAUUUUCUUCUAUGUGCUCAAUUCUUCCUGAUAUUCACAAAGACAGACAAACAAAGCAUAAACCCGCACUAAAUGAAAUAAAAACAAAAUAAAAGACUACUAAAAACAUCACCUAAACAUGACAAAACUAGACUCAACAAGAUUCUAUCCUAUUUUCCUUACCAAAGUUACCGGGAUAUGUGGACAGUGUUAGGACUUUGGAACACUCCUAAUAAUCAUUAUGAAAGAGAGUGAGUCUAAUGAAGAAAAAGAGAUGAAAAGGAAUGGGAAGACUAAACCAUUGAAAAACAUACUUACCAAAACUUAUGUGCUCAAGAACUUAGAUUUCCUAACCAAAAUAAAGAUUAAGGUUAGAGGCUGAGUAGAAGAUUAUGAGAACUUAAAAGAACAAAUACAGAAUUGAACUAGAGUUUUGGGUUACCUUGAAGACUUGUAAGACCAAUCUACUCCUCAAACCGAAAUACUCUAAAACCUUACUUCCCAAAGUGUUUGAUAAGCUUAUGAUGAUCAAGCUUAUGAUUCCCAAACCCAUGUGUUUAUACUCUCACACUCACUUAGCACUUGCAGCCUCUGAACUUAGAGCAAAAGAUGAAUAAUGGCUGGGUACUAGGUCCUAUUUAUAGAGUUUAGGAAUGAAAUGAUCUUGAUUUUACUUGAAUAAAAAUAAUAGCUUUUUAGGUGAAAAAUAUUUGAAUAAUCGUUCAGCAGAGGCUGAAGACUCGUUCAAAAAGAUACUGGACUUAUCAAGAGGUUGAAUGGCUGAAUGGAAAAUGAAUUCAAAACAUUUCAAAAUACACUGAAGGAGGCGAUAUAUCGCCCCUUGUAGGCGAUAUAUCGCCUGAGCCAGUAUGCCCGAGGCUGUCGUGCAUCGUCUCGUGUUUUCCGUAUCUACGUGCUCCGAUAUAUCGCCCCCUAUAGCUGCGAUAUAUCGGCACACGCUGAUUAAUUAAACACGAAAUUACAUAUUUUUAGCUAAGUUUGAAUGGAGUAAACAGCCUUGACUAAGCCCUCAACGUAUUCAAAGCUGCUGACUGACCUUAUAGCAUUCAAACUUUACUCCUUAUUAAAUUUAAUCCUCAAAAUACUUAAUUCUUAAUCAUCCAUUCAUAACAUGUGCUUAAAAUCCUAUUGGUCCUCAUCUAAACCUUAUAGUAUAAUAAAUAUUAUCCUUAAUAUCAGUCAUAUAAUCAAACCUUAGGUUAACAUUAAUAUUAUUAAACUAUAGGUUAAACUUAGAAAAUCUAUAAGUACUACUAUGAGUGUCCAAAUAAUUCCCGGUCUGAACCAAAAAUCCACAGUUACAAAGAUAAUACUAUACAUACUAUAAUACUACUAAAUAAUUAGCUAAGUAAAGUUCUUGGACUCUACAAAAACCAAUCCUUGAACUAAAACUUAGCCUCUAAGACAUCAAUCCUCACUAAUCCGGGUAGUAGGAAUGAUCCCGAGGUCUAAAACCAUGUUCUCGGUGCUAAAUACGCAAACGGGCUCAAAAGCCUGCCUGAGCCGCGGCCCUGGAACCUUGAGCCGCGGCCCCCAACCUACUCUGAAGCAAGGGUCGCGGCGCCCAGCAGGAACAAAUUCCUGCACCAGCUUCAUCGAGCAAGGGCCGCGGCGCCCAAGAACAAGGCCGCGGCCCAACUUUGGGGCAGCCAUUUUCCUUCUUUUUUAACCUUUUAAAAUCUUCCAAAAACAUGUCUAAACAUUCCCAAAUCAUCAAAUCAAAGUUCCCAAACUCCCCAAUGGUCCAAGACCACCAAAACCUGAGCCUCAAACGAACUAAAAACUCAACGAUUCACAAAAUCCAAUUCAAGCUUAAAAACUUUUAAAAACUUAAAAUUUAAACUUGAAUUACCUGCGAUUGAGUUAUUUCCAACUAAAUCCUCCGGUUAAUAAGCUUCUAAUUCUCCUUAGGAUUGCUAUGCCUUGAUCCUCGCUUGAUUCCAAGUCCUAGAACUCAAGUUAUCUUUGAAAACGCGAUCGGGAGACGAAAAGGGAACUUUUAGGGAGAGAGAACGUACAGAAUGUUCUUUUUAUUUUCUUAAAAGGUUACUUCAAGCUUAAGUAGCUUCCAAUAAAACCUAAUGCUCGGGGUCCCGAAAACACCCCCGGGGACAUUAUAGUCAAAACUUCCAGAAUUUCCUCCUGAUCUUACUAACUCUCAAUUUAUCACCAAUUAUUAAUUCCCAUUACCCAAUAACCCGGUAAUGCUCUAAAUACCCCUUGACUUACUCCAAGUCCAGCUUAAAUCCCGUUGUGACUUUCCCACUAGCUUACCUCCUAGGACCGUCUUGUACUGGGUAACCCUGGCAUAACCAAAUAAUAACAAAGUACCACGCCCAUUUCACAUAUAUGCCAAAAAUGCCCGAAAUGGCCAAAAUAUGAAAAUCGUCCAAUUAAUCACAAAUGGGUUCACAUGCAUAUUUAAUACACCUAAACAUGCAUAUUAUCAUUAAAUAGCAUAAUAAAUCAAUUAUGGCCCUCCCGGCCUCCUAAUCAAGGUCCUAAACGAUAUUAGGAAACUUGGGGCAUUACAACAAGAAAGAAAGCAUAGCUUAAGUAUGUAUUGAGAGGGGUCCUACCCUCCGAGCUAAAGGAGGCUCUGGGUCCGGAUCCGCCUUGGGACUGGACUCUUCUACGUACUGCCUAAGACAUGGAGCUACUACACCUCCAGGAGGGAGGGUCACGAUCUAAGAUUGGUCUCAUACUCCUCAAAAAAGGCCGACCUAAAGGCCAGGGUGUUAUCUACUACUACGGUCCCCCUAGGGCGGCUCAUGUCAUAACACAGUACGAGCUGGUCAACGCAUUGGAGUAGGGUGGUAUCGCGGUCUGGGUCGUUUUGGUGGCGAUGAACGGGUUGGCUGGGGUUAAACCUAGCAAGCCAUAGGUCUGCAGUGGCCCUGUCUAUGUCCCUAAAUAAAUAAGGGUUACCUUGGCCGGAGGGGCUGGCUGCUGCCCCGGACUGGGUCCUCUCUGCAUUGGCUUCCUGGGCGGCCUCCAGAGCCCGCUUCCGGCGCACGAGGGGCACCUCGUCCUCCUCGUCCUCAUCCUCAUCUUUGGCCUCCUCCUCGGGGAUGGGCGCCAUCUCGCGAGCAGCGGGGAUGGUCCGCAGUCUCCUCAAGGCUAGAGUUUGGUCCGGGGAAAUUAACUUGCACGCCAGCAUCGUCUCGUCAGACAUGAGCUGGCGGUAAUCCUUUUCACUUGGGGGGAGCCCCGCCAAGGUUUCGUAUUGACCCCCAAGGGUCACUGACUUAGUCGUCCUCGCGAAAAUAGCUGCAUGAUAGUUUCUAAGUCAGGAACGAAUAAGAAGAAGCUAAUCAGCAACCAAAUUACGAGCUGAAGAUAGAAGGAACUUACAAGGACGGUUGAAGUAAUGGUAUUCGCAGUUGCGAAACCCCUUUGACAUGAAGAAUUGAUCCUUAAAGUCAUUGGGGUGGUUGGGCAGCUCGAUGACCGCAGCUGAAUUGGGAAAACGGGUCAGGUAGUAGAACCCGUCACCUUGCCCUCGUUGCUCCGGGCUGGUUUUGAGGCAAAAGAAGUAAAGGAUGUCCGCCGGCGUGGGGACCUCCCAUUCCUGCUUCAGGAAUAAAUACUUCAACCCCGUUAACAGACGGUAGGAGUUAGGGGGGAGCUGGAAGGGAGCCAGCUUCACGUAAUUUAAAAAAUCCGCGAAGUACUGGUCCAGCGGAAGGAAGGCCCCAGCCUUGAGAUGCUCAUCGCUCCAGGCGGCUUACUCCUCGUCAAGCUGCGCGCAGCUCCGCUCGUCCUCAACGAGAGGUCGGGCGUCCAGGGCGCCGCUCCCUAUCUCAAUAUUAUGGGAAAGCAUAAUUUUAUUAACUUUCCCUUGGGUGGUGACCUUCGAGGCGAUCCUCUCGGCCUCAAAAAGGCGUCGGGCCCCACCUCGACCUCCUUCUCCACGGUGGGACCAAAGUUGGGGAUCAGGGAGUCUGUGGCCACCUCUUUCCCCUUACUGGUUUGCUGGGAAGACGAGCUGCCAGCACUUUUCUUGGGUGCACUCUUCUUGGGUCCCAUCUAGUCGCCUAACGAACAAAGAAGAAAAUUUAGAAAGGGCGACCUAAGCAUAAGAAAGAAUCUAGCGCGAAGGAUUUCCUUUACACGGGCUGAGGUAAUCUCAGCCUGCGGCGAGUGAGACUACAUGGUUCUAUGAACACGCGCCUGUGCUCCCAAUGGGUCCCCGAUUACUCGGAAUCCAUGUGUUAGGAGGGUCAAAAUAAAGGUUUGCCUUGGAAGGAAAGUUUUGAUAGGCAAAACUGCCUGUGAAGCGUGUCCCCUAAGCUACCUGGUUUUUGCACCCUAAAAACUGGUUGUUCCAAACAGGCAUAAAAAAAAAAAUUUACCCAGAAAAUCACCCCAUAGUUGUAUCCUAUGAGUCAUGCUUCUAAGCACUUUUUCUUACGGUCGAUACCCCUAGGAUAAAAACCCUACGCAUAAAAUUUCAGCAAAAGACAAGCAACCUACUACAUGCGGCUAAAGAGAAAGUUUACCUAAGCAAGAGAAAGGGAAAACAUUUGAAGCAUGCAACGAAUGGAGGACUUACAUAAAUUCUUUGCUGUAUAAAGACCGAAAGGAGCGUCUGGGUUGAAGUCCUGUUGGAAUUGCUGGAACCGGAGUCACGAAAGAGCCCUCGUAUCUGAACCUCUGGAACAUUGGGAAUAAUGACCGGAAGAAAGAAAGGGUUUUGAGACUGAGAAGAAAGAAGAAGAUGAGAAAAUUUUCAAAUAAAAAGGUGGCUCAUGCGAAGGGUGGCCAACCUUAUAUAUACGUAAAAGGCCAAAGGAUGAGGGCCAUUCGAUUGUCUUGAUGUAGGAUACGAGGAUCACUACUCGAAAGACGAAACGACGGCCGAAGAUAGGUUAGGCCAUUUAAUGCGGUUCUCCAAAGACGGACCGUCGCCAACCACGAUGCUCCACGUGUCCGAUACCAGCGUAAUGGGCGGAAUAUGAAGAGUCCACAAAGAAGCUUAAAAGCCCCCAUUGUGGCCCCAGGUCGUGUGCCACGAGCAGGGGCUUGGGGGGCAAAUGUACGCCCUAAAUAUCCACAGGUUAUUAGCGAGCUGGAAUAUGGCAUAAUUCUAUCAGCCAUGUGGAAGCCACCUACCUGGAGCUGCUGUUACAAAUCUCUAUCUCUUUAGCUCGAGAUAACCAAAGGUUCAUUGAGUACUAAGGCAUCGGGUCAGCAGUGUGGACACCACGAGCUGAAGCUACAUCAAGUUCAAGGUACGAGCUUGAGUUGACACCUCUGACCUUUUGUUUAAAGUCAACCACGCAAUGUAAACGUGCAUAUAUCAGACAUCACGUGUCUACUCCAUCCCUGAAUUCUCGGACACGCAGCAUAAACGUGCGUGUUCAGGCACCCAUGACUGGGUUGGGCCAUGCGGCCCAUUAUCCCCCUUACCUAUUGAUUAGACCACACUUCAUUGUCAGGUUUUAGGAAUUAAUCAUGAAUGUCACAGAAGUGACAUGAUGGGUAAGAUGGUCACGGGAUGACCUCCAUUGCCAACACCCAGGUGCCUUCUCCCUAUAAAUAUGGAGACCUUGGGAGUUGCAAAGGGUUAGCCUCUAAUUUAUAAAGAAAUACCCUGUAAAGAAUAUCAGAGAUAUAUCAAUAAUAUUGGCUAGUGGACUAGAAUGAUUUUAACCUUUGAACCACCUAAAAAACUAUUCGAGCUAUAAUUUUCCUUUGAGAUCAUUCAUCUAUUACGGUUCAUUAUUUAGCACUUGUUAUCCCCAUUUCUUGCAUGGGCUCGGUGCCUUCGUCUUGGCCCACUGUUAGGGGGCCAGCUCAGCACGUGGGCCCGGCCCAAGGUCUCUUGGUAUGGAGAGUGCCCAAGAGGAAGGGUAUGGAUCGGGGACUCAAGACUGGGCCCAUUGGAGGGGUCCGGGAUGUCCCUCCGGGUCCGUCCUCAGCGAGGAUAGUCCGGGCGGCGUGCAGAGCAUUCCAACCACUGCGGCCUACGCGUCCCUGUCCCGGACCACUGACGCGGUCCGGGCCGAUGGUAAACGAAGCGGGACAAAGGUAAAUGGACCCGGAUCAUCUCACCCCUGGUUGAAGGGGCCAGGACUCCAGGACCCUAACGCCGCCUCGCUCCACGUGGGCGUUGUCCCCCACUUUUCACCUACAGAAAAGGUCAUCUCGGGAUUGCACGCCAAUGUGUCAGGUCUGCGCAGCCAAGUACUCUAACUGGUCUUGUCUCCUGAAUCUGCCUCGUGACUCGAAGUGGCCAGGCCAAAAGCGUCGUUUUGUCGAGCGAGAUAUAGCUCUAAGGUCAACCUGUUGGGCCUUAGCUGGUUUGGAUUUAUGUAUUUUGUACCUUUUUGUAUUGGGCCUCCACUAGAAAGGCCCCUUGUAUCCAUUUCUCCGAUGGACCCGGAUCGGACCUGGUCCAGACCCGAUAUUCCCAUCAGCUUAUAAAUAUAAGCUACAGAGCACUGUAAACAGGGUCUCCUUUCAGAAAAAAGAGAGGAACUCUGUCAAAAUAUAAAACUCCAUUGUAAAAGCUUCUUCAAGCUCUAAUAACAUAGACUCGUGGACUAAGGCUAGUUAACACCCCAACCACGUAAAAAUCCCGUGUUGAUUUUCUGCUUUCAUUAUUAUCAUCAAUAAACAUUACUUAUCGAUAGAGUUGCCGAAAAUCUCGGUUAACAGCACUAAUCCCUCUCCUUAUUCAUAUAAUUAUCUGUUGCCGAAAAACUGCGCCAACAUCUUGAGAUGAGUAACUUUCUGCCAUAAGAGGGGUAACCAGUUACCUAAGAGGGGUGGUGAGUUAAUUAUAUUAAAUAUGAAAAGAAACAUCAAAUUUGAAGGAAAAAAAUAGAAGAACACUUCAUUAAAAAAGAAAAAAGAAGUAACUAUGAUUUUAGUAACAUAAGUAACUAGUUACCAUAAAGAAACCAUAAAUAUACACACACCAGAACGUGAAAGUAACAAAUCACCCUCAUAAAUAUACACACAAAGAAUGUGAGGUAACCAGUUACCCAUUCAUGUUUUCAUAUUUUUAUUAGUUUUCUUUCCAAAUUUUGGUAUUAUUAUAAGUGUUACAGUAAAAAGAAAAUGUUGAAAAAAUUGAUUAGAAUUUUCUUUAUAUAUCGUGGAAAAAACUAUAAAAAAAAAUUACAAUAAUAAAAUAUAAUAAAUAAAAAAAUAGUAGAAUAAUUAUGUAAUGCUAAAAUACAUGUAUGAAAAAAAAGAAAAAAAAAGAAAUAGAAUGAGAAAAGAAUAAGUACAAAAAUGAAAAAAAAAAUAUGAAAAAAAAAACAAAAGAAAUGAUGAAUGAAAAAAAUAGAUGAAUAAAUAAGAAUGAAAAGAAGAAGAAAAAGAAAAAUAAUUGAAAAAUGAAUAGAAAAAAAAUAUGAAUGAAAAAAUUGGUAGAAAAAAAAGAAAAAAAAAUGGAAGAAGAAAAAAAAGUUCAUAUGUGUGAAAAAAGAAAAAAAAUGGAAAGAGAAAAUAAUAAAUACAAAAAUAAAGAAAAAAUAUGAAGAAAAAAAACAAUACAAUACAAAUGAAAGAAAAAAAAUAGAUAAAUGAAAAAAAAAAAGAAUAAUGAAAAAAUUGAAAGAAAAAAAGAUGAAGGAAAAAAUUGGUAGAAAAAAAAAAAAGGGAAAAAACAAGAAAAAAUAAUAAAAAAUGAUGGAAAAAAAUAAAAAUAAAAUAAAAUUAUCUUCAAAAUCAAAGAAAACAUAACUAUGAUAAAAAAAUGUGACAUUUUCAUAUUUUAGUUAGCUAUUAAUUGUAUUUUCAUACUUUAACUUUUUCUUUAAUAAAUUUCUCAUACAGAUUCAGAAAUGUAUAACUCCUGUAUAAAAGUCAUAUUUUUUAAAAAUUCCUAAAAGUUUCUCUUUAAAAAAAAGAAAUCCAAUGGGCUGGGCUAGUUGGGGCUCUUGGGUUGGGCCAAACUCUCUAAAUUAGGGCUUCUGAGAUUUCUUAGGGUUUAUCGAAAGCACCUCUAGAAAAGGUGGAGUCAUUGCUCACAGCGGCAGUUUCAUCUGGAUCCGAAGAAGGUAGAGUCGAGCAGUAUUAAUUCUAUGUGCAUGGAUCAAGGAAUCUAUCCUUAGGCGAUAGUAACGCCGAAGUACAUACAUCCAAUUCUGUAUGUAUUUUCCACCUUUAGCUCCGAUUUUCCAUGUCUUUCUUUACCAGGAAUUGUUCGGUGACAAGGUUGAUACAGUUUUGAUUUUGAUUAUGAUUUUCUAGGGUUAGGGUUUAUGAUGUUUGGAGUGAUGAAAAAAAUCAUUCGGAUUCCCAAUGAUCAAUUUUCUAUUAUGAUAUUCCAACCAGCUACUUCUGACCUUUCAUCAUAACCAUUCUUAAUCUCAUUUUUUAAUAUAUAUAUAUGAUUUUAUUUUACAUAAGAAAAAAUAGAAGAAAAGGCCAGUGAUGUAUCAAAAUAUUUGCUACUCUUGAUGGGUUUUCACCUAUUUGAUGAUGGUUUUCCACCAAGAUCUCUGAGGCCUUUUUUUUUUAGUUCUAACAUUGUUUAUGGUGAAGUUUUUCUGUUAAGUUUUUAAACUCAGUUUAUAGAGAAUUUAGAGUGGAAAUGAAUUGUAAUGCAAAAUUGAUGAAUUGACUUAAUUUAUUGAUUGAAUCGUACUAUUCAACUUUAUAUUUAUUAAAUUAGGUUUUGUAAUGGAUUAUUAGGGUUUAUCAUGUGAUGAAAUUUGGAAUAAUCUUAGGACACCUUCCUACACAGUUUGCCAAAGCUGUGGAUGAGAACAAAAAUCCAUUCUGAUGAUAUGUCUGAAAUUAUUAUUGUUUAUGUUUUGAUUCAUGAACUGUAUUUACUGUUAAUGUUGAAAAUGAUUUUAAGUUUCAAAUGAUGAUUAUGGAUGUCAUUUUCUCACGACGGUCGUCUGAGAUUUUUCAACAUUAUAUUUUUCAAUUUUAUAUUUUGAAGGUAUAUGUUUUUCGUUUCUGUAGAGGCAUAUCAUGUGAUGAAAUUUGGAAUAAUCUUAGGACACCUUCCUACACAGUUUGCCAAAGCUGUGGAUGAGAACAAAAAUCCAUUCUGAUGAUGAUGUGUCUGAAAUUAUUAUUGCAAAUUGUUAUGUUUUGAUUCAUGAACUGUGUUUACUGUUAAUGUUGAAAAUGAUUUGAAGUAUGAUACUGAAGUUUCAAAUGAUGAUUAUGGAUGUCAUUUUCUCACGACGGUCGUCUGAGAUUUUUCAGUGAUGAUAAACAUCCUAUUGUUCUGAUGAGCCUUCAACCCUCAUUCAUUGUACAUAGACCACACCAGAGUUAGGAAUAGGAGAUAAUGGAGAGCAUUGUAGUUUUGUAUUGGCAAUUCCGCCUAGACUGUGUCCUAUCAUGCUUGAAGAAUAUCAGCUUUGAUUGUUUUCUUUAUAUAAAUUAAUAAUCCUUUGAUCUCCUACCGUGCUAUGAAGAUACUCGUGAAGAACGAUCAUAUGACACAAAUAUAGCAAAUAUCAUUUCGAGGGAUGAGUAUUGUGUGACAGUUAGAAUCCCGCAAUGGUUCAAGAAGUUGCAAUGAUGCAUUUUAUUUUUGGAGUAUAUUUGCUGAUCAAGGAAUUAGAAUGGUGAAAAGGUAUACUUAACAAUGAGUUAUGCGGGUCUCACAUGAAAGGAAAUAGGUUGGCAUUGUUAGGACGAAGGGAUGGGCGUAAAAAGCUAGUAUCGAACUCGUCCGAUUGUAUGGCAGAUUUAGAUGGGUUCAAGUUUCGGGUAUUGUUGGCUGGUGUUAUCGGGUUUUGGGAAUCUUGGGCCUACAGUGGGCCUUGGGGCGAAAUGUAAAAAAUAUCAUCUUUUAAAUAUAAUUUCACCACUUUUUUA